UGAGAUAUCUUUUGAUUAGCUCUAGAUCAAGAGCUACCUUUGCGUAGCGAUGAGCGACAUUUGCAUGUAUUACCUGAAUA
rnacentral:snoRNA from 1 species